rnacentral:lncRNA from 1 species
CCUCACUCUGCCAGGGCAGGUUUCAGGAAGACACUCAGGCCGAAGGCACUUGGGAAACCAGUGUCCCUGAGCCGUCCCUCUGGGGGCAGCAAGUCUUUGCACGUUGGCCAAGAGAUAAUUUUUUUAAAAACUUUUAUUUGGAGACAAAGAAUGCAUGGGAGCAGGUGCAUAGGGUCAGGGAGAGAACAGGGCCUACACUGCAAAGCAGAAAACAGACAAGUUAAUGGACCUGAUCCUGCUUUAGUCUUGAUUAGGACUCAGCAAACUUUCUCUGUAAGGGGCCAGCAGUAAAUAUUUUAGGUUUCAUGGUCCAUACCAUCUCCACUGCACCUACUCAGCUCCGCCCUUGUAGCAUGAAAGCUGCUGUAGACAACACAGGACCAAUGAGCGUGGCUGCCUCCCCAGAACCGUUUGCCCAACAGGCAGAGUGCAAGCAGCAGUGUGUUUAGAGUGCUGUUGCUUUCUAGGGUGAUGAAAGAUUAUCUAACUACCUGUGAUGUUAGAAGCCAGACCUACAAAGACACAGAGUCCAAGGCAUGUAGAGAAUAGGUCCAGAGAAGUAGUCUUGUCACCAGGAGGCUUCCAGAGUUAUCAAUAGCAAGGAUUUCUGCCCUGGUCAGAGCAUUACAUUUGCUUUUGUCCCCAUGAUACAGUUCAGGCAAUGUUGGAAAGAUCAGAUUGAUGAGCCACUAAGUGACUAUAGCUCUAAAAAUAGGAUUGUAAAGAUAGCGUCCGAUGGUUGGCAAACCGUGGCCUGUUUAGUUGGCCUCUUUCUGUAGAGCCCGCAACCUAAGAAUGGCUUCUACAUUCUCACAGGGUGGGAAAUACCAGCAGGAGGAGGAGGAGGCAGAGCUGGAGGAAGAAGAGGAGCUGGAGGAGGAAGAGAAAGAAGGAGGUGCAGGAGCUGGAGGGGGGAGGGGCAGCUGGAGGAGGGCGGGGAGAUGGAGGAGGAGGAGAAGGAAGAGAAGGAGGAGGUACAGGAGAUAAGAAGAACCAGAACAGCAAGAGCAGCCGGGAGGAGGGGGAGGCACGACCCUGAGACCGUGUCCCUGGAAGCCUCACCUCCUUGCUAUUGGCCGGGGCGGAGGAAGCCCGCCUUCCGGCUGGAGAGCGCAGAGACCACGUUGCCAGAAGACUGCUGGGACCUGGUCCAUCAGAGAAGGCAGGUGUCAGACCCGCCCGCCGUGCUUCCUGACGCAGCACAAAGAAGGGGAAGCUUGCAUCAUUAAGGUGGGCUUGUGGGGGAGGAAUUCCCUUCCCACGUUUAUUCCAGAAGAGAGAAAUGUUUUAAACCGCGACAAAUUGCCAUGUCUGUGGGUACAGAGCCCUUCCCAGAAGAAUGUGAUUUACAUUCACGCUUCUGCCGUUUGGCAGGAGCAGAUUUUCUGUCAUGCG